rnacentral:rRNA from 1 species
UACGUAGGUGGCAAGCGUUGUCCGGAUUUACUGGGCGUAAAGAGCGCGCAGGCGGUCGUGCAAGUCGCGUGUGAAAGCCCCCGGCUCAACUGGGGAGGGUCAUUCGAUACUGUUCGACUCGAAGGCAGGAGAGGGAAGUGGAAUUCCCGGUGUAGUGGUGAAAUGCGUAGAUAUCGGGAGGAACACCAGUGGCGAAGGCGACUUCCUGGCCUGUUCUUGACGCUGAGGCGCGAAAGCUAGGGGAGCAAACGGG